rnacentral:rRNA from 1 species
UACGGGGGGGGCAAGCGUUGUUCGGAAUUACUGGGCGUAAAGGGCGCGUAGGCGGCCUGCUAAGUCGGGUGUGAAAACUCUGGGCUCAACCCAGAGCCUGCAUUCGAUACUGACGGGCUAGAGUUCUGGAGGGGAAAGCGGAAUUCCUGGUGUAGCGGUGAAAUGCGUAGAUAUCAGGAGGAACACCAGUGGCGAAGGCGGUUGCCUGGAGCUUUGCUGACGCUGAUGCACGAAAGCCAGGGGAGCGAACGGG